UCCUUCGGGGUCGGGUGAAAUUCCCAACCGGCGGUGAUUCGUUCAGGUGAACGACAGCCCGCGACCCGGUUGCUAAAUCAGCAAGCGGUGGAUUCCAGUGAGAAGCUGGAGCCGACAGUAAAGUCUGGAUGGGAGAAGGA
rnacentral:ncRNA from 1 species